rnacentral:rRNA from 1 species
UAGCGAAGGGGGCUAGCGUUGCUCGGAAUCACUGGGCGUAAAGGGUGCGUAGGCGGGUCUUUAAGUCAGGGGUGAAAUCCUGGAGCUCAACUCCAGAACUGCCUUUGAUACUGAAGAUCUUGAGUUCGGGAGAGGUGAGUGGAAUUGCGAGUGUAGAGGUGAAAUUCGUAGAUAUUCGCAAGAACACCAGUGGCGAAGGCGGCUCACUGGCCCGAUACUGACGCUGAGGCACGAAAGCGUGGGGAGCAAACAGGG